CCCUGGCUGGCUCAGUCGGUAGAGCAUGUGACUCUUGAUCUCAGGGUCAUGAGUUCAAGCCCCACUUUGGGGU
rnacentral:tRNA from 1 species